AUUGAACGCUGGCGGCAGGCCUAACACAUGCAAGUCGAGCGAGCGGCGGACGGGUGAGUAAUGUAUGGGGACUGCCCGAUAGAGGGGGAUAACUACUGGAAACGGUGGCUAAUAACGCAUACUAUCGGAUAACCCAUAUGGGAUUAGCUAGUAGGGGGGGUAAAGGCUCACCUAGGCGACGAUCUCGAGCUGGUCUGAGAGGAUGAUCAUCGACACUGGGACUGAGACACGGCCCAUAAUCCCAGGGAGGCAGCAGGGGGGAAUAUUGCAAAAUUGGCGCAAUCCUGAUGCAGCCAGGGCGAGUGUAUGAAGAAGGCCUUAGGGUUGUAAAGUACUUUCAGCGUGGAGGCGUUACCCGCAGAAGAAGCACCGGCUAACUCCGUGCCAGCAGCCGCGGUAAUAC
rnacentral:rRNA from 1 species